AUUGGGCCAUUUCCGUUUAAAAUUUUAUUACAUUUUUAUGGUGUAUUGUAAAAAUGCUAUAAGAAUAAACAAAAGUUUGUAUAAUAAUAAAAACCGCUGCAAAAUAUAGAACUAUAGACGUGUCCAAGUACAUAAUGAUACUCUUUUUGCUUGUGAUAAAUCAGUUUUUAAUGAUAUUCAAUGUUUAUGGAAAGGAAAAAUUGCCACGUUUCGUAGUAGAGGACUUUGUUAAGCCAGCAAUAUUCGGUUCGUAUAGCUAUAAUCCACUUACGCAAACGUUUGAAAAAAGGACGAUCCUUCCAGUAACGGAAACGUCAUUCAGAUACAAAUAUACAAUCGAACUAUCACUCAAUCACAAGUUACGACGGAGCCUCCUCAAAUAAAAAGUACCAUAAAUAAUAUAUUUAGGAAACACGUUACCGGAGGAAGGUCAAAAAAACCAUUUCAUUUAAGACCUAUAUUGAGAACUGUCAAACAAGAGAGUCAUAACUCAACGGGCACCAGUAAUUCUCAAGUGAGUACGGACCAACAGUGAUCUACUAUGUAAGAGACUAAUUAAUACAGAACGAAUUUUGUUCUUGACGCACACCUAAAACACUUUUACUUACUUACCAUAACUAUUUUAAGGUACGGCGGAGCGCAAAAAUUCAGUUGAAUAACUAUUUUAAAUAAAUAAUGUUUUUAAAGCA